UAGCUUCUGCUUUCUUCCUUUUUUUUUAUUUGCAAUUUUGAGAACGUUGUGAUGAUGUUGCAUUGUUGUUGAGGAAGAAGAAUGAAGAUGGAAGUUGAUUCGGUUGAUUGAAGAUGAAGGUUCUGAGAUGCGAUGGAGAAUCCAAGGAGAAAGAUAAUUCUGAAUUCAGAGAGGAAGAUUGAAGAUGAUGAAUAUAUAGAGAUGAUGAAGAUUCAGAUUGAAGAUUCUGGUGGUUGAAGAAUUGGUGGUGAAGAUUGAAGAAUUGGUUCAGAGGGAUGUUGAUUCAUGAACGAAGGUUGCAGGGCUGUUUUGUUGUAGCUUGUAUGUGCAAGUGUUUGGUAUGAAACUGAUAUGUUGGUUACAAGUUGCUAGUGUAAAGGCUGUUAUGUAUUUGUUUAUUUUCUAGACGAUGAAUGUGUGUAUUGGACUGUGUUCAAAGUGGCAUUUAUCUUGGAUGAAUUUUGAGCAUUAGAAGCUACAAGGCUUGAAGCUUGAAGUCUGAAGAUGUAUGAUGCAUAAGAGGAUGACUCAUGGAGCUGAAGUGAAAAACUCUGAAGUUCAGAAGAGCAAUGAGUCUAGGAUCAUGGUUGACUUCGGCCAACUAUUUGUCAAUCAACUCUUUUUUUUUUUGUAAUUUCUUACUAUAUGGUUUAUUAAUCUCUUUUAGGAUUGAACUUGUAAUUUAGUAAUUGAUGGCCCUUCUUGUAAUGGAUUCCUUUUUGAAAGAUACUGCAACAACUUUGAAUGUGUCUUUAAA